AGAUUGAACGCUGGCGGCAUGCUUUACACAUGCAAGUCGAACGCGAAAGUGGGGGCAACUCCAUGAGUAGAGUGGCGAACGGGUGAGUAAUACAUCGGAACGUGUCCAGUAGUGGGGGACAACCAGUCGAAAGAUUGGCUAAUACCGCAUACGCUGGGGACAGGAAAGCGGGGGUCUGCAAGGACCUCGCGCUAUUGGAGCGGCCGAUGUCUGAUUAGCUAGUUGGCGGGUAAGAGCCCACCAAGGCGACGAUCAGUAGCUGGUCUGAGAGGAUGAUCAGCCACACUGGACUGAGACACGGCCCAGACUCCUACGGGAGGCAGCAGUGGGGAAUUUUGGACAAUGGGGGCAACCCGUGAUCCAGCCAUGCCGCGUGAGGAAGAAGGCCUUCGGUGUAACCGUCUUUCGGCCGGACGAAACGACACGGCGUAAUAUCGUCGUGUGGAGUGACGGUAACCGGAAGAAGAAGCGACCGGACUAACGUACGU
rnacentral:rRNA from 1 species